rnacentral:rRNA from 1 species
UACGAAGGGGGCUAGCGUUGCUCGGAAUCACUGGGCGUAAAGGGUGCGUAGGCGGGUCUUUAAGUCAGGGGUGAAAUCCUGGAGCUCAACUCCGGAACUGCCUUUGAUACUGAAGAUCUUGAGUUCGGGAGAGGUGAGUGGAACUGCGGGUGUAGAGGUGAAAUUCGUAGAUAUUCGCAAGAACACCAGUGGCGAAGGCGGCUCACUGGCCCGAUACUGACGCUGAGGCACGAAAGCGUGGGGAGCAAACAGG